rnacentral:tRNA from 1 species
GGGUGAGUGGCGGAACUGGUAUACGCGUACGUCUCAGAAGCGUGUGGAGCAAUCCUUGGGAGUUCAAGUCUCCCCUCGUCCA